AAAUAAUAAUAAUGGUAAAUUUGAACUGAUGUUUUUUUUUGGGAUUUUGAUUUGAGUUUCGAUUUGGCGAUUUUGUCUCGUUUCAACUGACAAAACAAUGUCGUUUAGAUACAACAGAGACGACUAACAGGAGUUUAAUAUCGUAAAAGUUUUUAAUUAGUCUACUAAACACCAUGCCUAAGUGACUGGUCAAUCAAACUUUGUCAUUUAAACUUAAAGUUAACCAAAAUUUUACGAUUUUAAAUUUAUUUGUCUUCCUCGUAGUUUAUGAUUUAAUCGUCCCAAAUUCAAAAAUUCGUAUUUUUUUGUUGACAUUUUUACCUUUUUCUUACUAACAAAGUAACAAUGUGACCGUGAUACACGAUAGAUCAUUAAUGGAACUGUUCAAAAAUAUAAAA
rnacentral:sRNA from 1 species